GACGAACGCUGGCGGCGUGCUUAACACAUGCGAGUCGUACGGUAAGGCCCUUUCGGGGGUACACGGGUGGCGAACGGGUGAGUAACACGUGAGUAACCUGCCCACAACUUUGGGAUAACGCUAGGAAACUGGUGCUAAUACUGGAUAUGUGCUCCUGCUGCAUGGUGGGGGUUGGAAAGCUCCGGCGGUUGUGGAUGGACUCGCGGCCUAUCAGCUUGUUGGUGGGGUAGUGGCCUACCAAGGCGGCGACGGGUAGCCGGCCUGAGAGGGUGACCGGCCACAUUGGGACUGAGAUACGGCCCAGACUCCUACGGGAGGCAGCAGUGGGGAAUAUUGCACAAUGGGCGCAAGCCUGAUGCAGCAACGCCGCGUGCGGGAUGACGGCCUUCGGGUUGUAAACCGCUUUCAGCAGGGACGAAGCUUUUUGUGACGGUACCUGCAGAAGAAGCACCGGCUAACUACGUG
rnacentral:rRNA from 1 species